rnacentral:rRNA from 1 species
GACGAACGCUGGCGGCGCGCUUAACACAUGCAAGUCGAGCGAAGCGGCGGACGGGUGAGUAACACGUGAGUAACCUGCCUUAGACCUUGGGAUAGCCCCGGGCAACCGGGAUUAAUACCAAUUGGUGUAAGAUGGACUCGCGUCCCAUUAGCAAGCUGGUGAGGUAACGGCCCACCAAGGCGACGAGGGGUAGCCGGCGUAAGAGGGUGAACGGCCACAUUAGAACUGAGAAACGGUCCAAACGCUACGGGAGGCAGAAGUGCGGAAUAAUGCACAAUGGAUGGAACUCUGAUGCAGCGACGCCGCGUGAACGAAGAAGGCUUUCGAGUCGUAAAGUUCUUUUAGAUGGGAAGCGGUGCCAUAAGAAAAAGCCCCGGCUAACUACGUGCCAGCAGACGCGGUAAUUC